rnacentral:rRNA from 1 species
AGAGCGAACGCUGGCGGCAGGCUUAACACAUGCAAGUCGAGCGGGCGUAGCAAUACGUCAGCGGCAGACGGGUGAGUAACGCGUGGGAACAUACCUUUGGUUCGGAACAACACAGGGAAACUUGUGCUAAUACCGGAUAAGCCCUUACGGGGAAAGAUUUAUCGCCGAAAGAUUGGCCCGCGUCUGAUUAGCUAGUUGGUGAGGUAACGGCUCACCAAGGCGACGAUCAGUAGCUGGUCUGAGAGGAUGAUCAGCCACAUUGGGACUGAGACACGGCCCAAACUCCUACGGGAGGCAGCAGUGGGGAAUAUUGGACAAUGGGCGCAAGCCUGAUCCAGCCAUGCCGCGUGAGUGAUGAAGGCCCUAGGGCUGUAAAGCUCUUUUGUGCGGGAAGAUAAUGACGGUACCGCAAGAAUAAGCCCCGGCUAACUUCGUGCCAGCAGCCGC